ACGAUUCGUCGAAGCAAUUCGGCGAAUAGUGGCAGAAGGGUUAGUAAUACGUGGGUAAUCAACCCCUAGGUUAAGGAUAACUUCGCGAAAGCGAGGCUAAUACUGAAUAAUAUCCUGUUGUUGCAUGAUGACGGGAUCAAAGGUGGCUCGUAAGGGCUGCCGCCAAAGGACGAGCCCGCGACCUAUCAGCUAGUUGGUGAGGUAAUGGCUCACCAAGGCUUUUGACGGGUAGCUGGUCUGAGAGGAUGGUC
rnacentral:rRNA from 1 species